UGAGGAAUAUUGGUCAAUGGGCGAUGGCCUGAACCAGCCAAGUAGCGUGAAGGAUGACUGCCCUAUGGGUUGUAAACUUCUUUUAUAAAGGAAUAAAGUCGGGUAUGCAUACCCGUUUGCAUGUACUUUAUGAAUAAGGAUCGGCUAACUCCGUGCCAGCAGCCGCGGUAAUACGGAGGAUCCGAGCGUUAUCCGGAUUUAUUGGGUUUAAAGGGAGCGUAGAUGGAUGUUUAAGUCAGUUGUGAAAGUUUGCGGCUCAACCGUAAAAUUGCAGUUGAUACUGGAUGUCUUGAGUGCAGUUGAGGCAGGCGGAAUUCGUGGUGUAGCGGUGAAAUGCUUAGAUAUCACGAAGAACUCCGAUUGCGAAGGCAGCCUGCUAAGCUGCAACUGACAUUGAGGCUCGAAAGUGUGGGUAUCAAACAGGAUUAGAUACCCUGGUAGUCCACACGGUAAACGAUGAAUACUCGCUGUUUGCGAUAUACGGCAAGCGGCCAAGCGAAAGCGUUAAGUAUUCCACCUGGGGAGUACGCCGGCAACGGUGAAACUCAAAGGAAUUGACGGGGGCCCGCACAAGCGGAGGAACAUGUGGUUUAAUUCGAUGAUACGCGAGGAACCUUACCCGGGCUUAAAUUGCACUCGAAUGAUCCGGAAACGGUUCAGCUAGCAAUAGCGAGUGUGAAGGUGCUGCAUGGUUGUCGUCAGCUCGUGCCGUGAGGUGUCGGCUUAAGUGCCAUAACGAGCGCAACCCUUGUUGUCAGUUACUAACAGGUGAUGCUGAGGACUCUGACAAGACUGCCAUCGUAAGAUGUGAGGAAGGUGGGGAUGACGUCAAAUCAGCACGGCCCUUACGUCCGGGGCUACACACGUGUUACAAUGGGGGGUACAGAGGGCCGCUACCACGCGAGUGGAUGCCAAUCCCUAAAACCCCUCUCAGUUCGGACUGGAGUCUGCAACCCGACUCCACGAAGCUGGAUUCGCUAGUAAUCGCGCAUCAGCCACGGCGCGGUGAAUACGUCCCC
rnacentral:rRNA from 1 species